rnacentral:lncRNA from 1 species
CGCACAACAUGACCUGCUGCCUCAUUCCUGCCACCCUGCCGUCCCCACCAUGGUGACCGUUUCCCUCAGACUGCUGUAAGCCUAAAUUACCCUCUUCUUCCCCGGGUUGCUAUUGUCUGUGUCUUGUUAUAGCAAACAGCAAAGCGACCACUAACGCCCUCACAUAUGUCCUGUCAGAGAGGAGAGCCGAGUAGCAAGCAGCCCUCAUCUCCAUGAUUCAUACAAAUAGCAAAGCUCAUUCCUCACCCUCACCUGUGCGUCUGGACAUAGGUCCCCAGGCAA